rnacentral:rRNA from 1 species
GACAGAGGGUGCGAACGUUGCUCGGAAUUACUGGGCGUAAAGCGCGUGUAGGCGGACCGACAAGUCAGGUGUGAAAUCCCCGGGCUCAACCCGGGAACUGCACUUGAAACUAGCGGCCUUGAGUGCCGGAGAGGGUGGCGGAAUUCCUGGUGUAGAGGUGAAAUUCGUAGAUAUCAGGAGGAACACCGGUGGCGAAGGCGGCCACCUGGACGGCUACUGACGCUGAGACGCGAAAGCGUGGGGAGCAAACAGG